GACGCGCACGCGCAGUAGCCGCGUCCGCGCUCAAGCGCUCGGUGUGAGGCUGUGAGCCCAGCGCUGAGAAAAGGGAGCCUGGAGGACCAGUGUGUGGCCAGAGCCAGCUGGAGAGGGGCCCGGAAUGUGUACUGGGAAGUGGCUGACUAAAGACCUAUGGAUUCCAUGGAAUGGAGAGGCCAGCUCAGAGCAUUCUCAUACUCUUAAAAGGAAGAAACUGGAAGCCACCUUCUAAGUGGACCCUGAAUGAUGGCUGCCUCCUGGUAUGUAUACUCUUGUGUAGCCUCCACCUACUUAGACUCACAGCUGAUUUUGUGACCAAGAGUAUAAUGGUGUAUGACUUCAGAGGCUUGGUUCAGAGUCAGAAGUGGCCAUUUCAUCAUCAUCUAAAUUUCUCUCUGGCAGAUUAAUAAAUGUGAGAAAGUAAAAAUGGUAUAGAAGAAAGCCUGAGAGAUGGCUGGCUUUGUACCUGUUUGGUCCUUUUCCUUCCUUUCCUCCAUAAGCAAAUACUGACGCAUGUACAUAUAGACACACCCACACAGUGGGAUGUUAAAGGGAAACUAGAGCCACUCGCCCCUUCCCAAGAUCAGAGAACCUAGGAAAGAUGAUGACUUUUUGCAUCUGCCCUCUGCUCUUGAACUCACAACACUGUCCUGAACCACAAAUAAGGUCAAGUAGGAUAAAUCUACAACUGUCUCCUCGAUUCUCUGCUCACAAGCGUGAAAUUCAACCAUCUUUGCAGAAGUUGUCUCUUAACCAACCUCUGAGCUUUGCUUCUAUUAUUACAUCAUUUUAUUUGACCCGCAGGACAAAACUGCAAGCCCAGCAUUACAUUCUUCCUUUUAUGGACAAAAUGAAGAAACUAAUAAAUGGCUGAAAUGGCAUUUGAAUCCACA